rnacentral:tRNA from 1 species
GCCUGGCUAGCUCAGUUGGUAGCGCAUGAGACUCUUGAUCUCAGGAUUGUGGGUUUGAGCCCUAUGCUGGGUG